AGAGUUUGAUCAUGGCUCAGCCUGAACGCUGGCGGCGUGGCUAAGACAUGCAAGUCGCACGGUGUAGCAAUACACAGUGGCGAACGGGUGAGUAAUGAAUCGCUAACGUACCCCGGACUCUGGGAUAGCUAGCCGAAAGGUUAGGUAAUACCGGAUAAUAUAUCCUGCUCGCAUGAGUGGGAUCUCAAAGGUCCGCCGGUCUGGGAGCGGGCGAUUUCGUAUCAGCUAGUUGGUGAGGUAACGGCUCACCAAGGCGAUGACGCGUAGCCGGACUGAGAGGUUGGCCGGCCACAUUGGGACUGAGACACUGCCCAGACUCCUACGGGGGGCUGCAGUAACGAAUCUUCCGCAAUGCACGCAAGUGUGACGGAGCGACGCCGCGUGUGGGAUGAAGUUCUUCGGAAUGUAAACCACUGUCAGGGGUAAGAAAGUUCUGAUCUACCCCAGAGGAAGGCACGGCUAACUCUGUGCCAGCAGCCGCGGUAGGACAGAGGUGCCGAGCGUUAGGCGGAAUCACUGGGCUUAAAGCGUGUGUAGGCGGGUCGUUAAGUGCCUUGUGAAAUCCCACGGCUCAACCGUGGAACUGCUGGGCAUACUGGCGAUCUUGAGCAACCUAGGGGCAGUCGGAACAAAUGGUGGAGCGGUGAAAUGCGUAGAUAUCAUUUGGAACGCCAAUGGUGAAAACAGACUGCUGGGGGUUUGCUGACGCUGAGACACGAAAGCCAGGGGAGCAAACGGGAUUAGAUACCCCGGUAGUCCUGGCUGUAAACGAUGUCAACUAGAUCGCGGUGGCUCUGACGCCAUCGCGGUCGAAGCAAAAGUGCUAAGUUGACCGCCUGGGAAGUACGGUCGCAAGGCUAAAACUCAAAGGAAUUGACGGGGCUCACACAAGCGGUGGAGCAUGGUGGUUCAAUUCGAAGCAACGCGCAAGAACCUUACCUGGGCUUGACAUGCUUGGGAUUAUUCUCGA
rnacentral:rRNA from 1 species